CUACUUAAUAUCUCAGAAGUUCUGGCUCUGUGUGGCCCCUCUAGGUUCCUUGCUUAGGGCCUGGUAGGACCAAAAUCAAUGAUCCAGCAGAGCUGCAUUGUUUACUAGCGACUCUGGGGAAGAAUUCCCAUACAAACUCAUUCUGGAUGUUGGCAGAAUUCAAUUCCUCCUUGGGGUUUCCACCUGGUCCCCUCUGUCUCCAAGCUAGCAAAGGAGGAUUGAGUCUUCAUGCUUUUUUGAAUCUCUCUGACUUUCCCUUCUGUCUCCUUCUUCUGCUUUUCAGGGUUCAUGUGAUUAUACUAGGCCUAUCUGGGUAACUCAGAAUAAUUUCCUGAUUUUAACAAUCACAUCUAUGAUAUAAAGUCCUUUUGUCAUAUAAUGUAAAGCAUUCACAGGAUUAACACCAGCGGCUGAAGGUCAUGGGAGUAAAAAUUCUGCCUACUGCACAUGUUCCUGGAAACAUUAAUCAGAAUUGACCAUAUGCUGAGCCAUAAAGCAAGAUCCCAAAGUUUCAAAAGAGUGCAGUAAUUCAUAAUAUGUUCUCUCAGUACAGUGGAACUGAACUGGAAAUCAAUAAAGAACGAUAUUGAUAAAAUCCCCAACUGCUUGGAAAUUAAGCACUGCACUUUCAAAUAACUCAUGAUUCAAAUAAACAAUCGCAAAAGAAACUAGAAAAUAUUUUGAUCUGAAUGAUAAUAAAGAUACACGGGGUGUAAUCAGUGAUUAGAGUGAACAUUGUGUGGUAAAAUUUGGAAAGCUUUCCAUUUGAGAUCAAGGAUAAGACAAGGAUGUCCACCAUCACCAGUUUUAUUCAAGAUUGUAUUGGAAUUGAUAAAAUAACAAUGAGGCAAAAAAAAAAAAAAUAGUCCUGAGUCGCUUAACAAUGGGGAUUCUGAGAAAUGAAUCAUUGUCCAAACACUGUAGAGUAUAUUACACAAACUUAGAUGGUAUAGCCUACUACACACCUAGCUGAUAUAUAGCCUAUUGCUCCGAGGCUGCAAACUUGUACAGCAUGUUAUGGUACUGAAUACUAUAAGCAAAUGUAACAUAGUGGUAAGUAUAUGUGUAUCAUAUUUAAACAGAAAAAGCAUAGUAAAAAUACUGUAUGAAAGAUUUAAAAAAAAAAAAAAAAAA
rnacentral:lncRNA from 1 species